rnacentral:piRNA from 1 species
AAGGAGCAUUUGUCUUCUUGUUAGAAGGAA